AGAGUUUGAUCCUGGCUCGAGGACGAACGCUGGCGGCGUAGCCUAACACAUGCAAGUCGAACGGACUUAAGAGAGCUUGCUCUUUAAGUUAGUGGCGGACGGGUGAGUAACGCGUGAGCAACCUGCCUUACAGAGGGGGAUAACGUUUGGAAACGAACGCUAAUACCGCAUAACAUACGAGUGUCACAUGGCGCACGUAUCAAAGGAGCAAUCCGCUGUAAGAUGGGCUCGCGUCCGAUUAGAUAGUUGGCGGGGUAACGGCCCACCAAGUCGACGAUCGGUAGCCGGACUGAGAGGUUGAACGGCCACAUUGGGACUGAGACACGGCCCAGACUCCUACGGGAGGCAGCAGUGAGGGAUAUUGCACAAUGGGCGAAAGCCUGAUGCAGCAACGCCGCGUGAGGGAAGACGGUUUUCGGAUUGUAAACCUCUGUUCUUAGUGAAGAUAAUGACAUUAGCUAAGGAGAAAGCCACGGCUAACUACGUGCC
rnacentral:rRNA from 1 species